UACGGGGGGGGCAAGCGUUGUUCGGAAUUACUGGGCGUAAAAGGCUCGUAGGCGGCCAACUAAGUCAGACGUGAAAUCCCUCGGCUUAACCGGGGAACUGCGUCUGAUACUGGAUGGCUUGAAUCCGGGAGAGGGAUGCGGAAUUCCAGGUGUAGCGGUGAAAUGCGUAGAUAUCUGGAGGAACACCGGUGGCGAAGGCGGCAUCCUGGACCGGCAUUGACGCUGAGGAGCGAAAGCCAGGGGAGCAAACGGG
rnacentral:rRNA from 1 species